UUCAUAGUUAAAGUUUAAUUGGAACCAUGAAGUUUCUUUGUUUUAUUGUAGUUAUUGCUUUGGCAAUUGUUGCUAAUUUAAAUGGUUCAAACGCAUGUCAACGAAAAUGCAGUCAAAUAUUUAAGCCCGUUUGUGUGGAAGAUAUUGAUGGUAAAUCAUUUUGGUUCGUCAAUCGAUGUGAAUUUGAAAAAGAGAUCGCUUGUGGAAAAACUGUAAUGGAUGAAGUACCAUGUCAUAUGUUUGAAGACAAUUAAACAAAGUCAUGGAUAAUUGUCGGGAAGAGUUCAUUAUGCUGCUGAUACAAAUAAUGAUACUAAAUAAAAGAAGAACAAAUACUUGCCUCCAUCGUCUUUUGAAAACCAAUAUUUUGUGAAUUUAGAAUUAUCAAAAUCAAAUACAGAAUUUAAGGAUUAA